rnacentral:tRNA from 2 species
GUUCAUGUAGCUUAUAAUACAAAGCAAGGCACUGAAAAUGCCUAGAUGAGUUUCUAAACUCCAUAAACA